GAGGCAGAGAUUGGAUUAUGACAUCUUCAUGUGGCCCCUCCUCUUCUCUCCCUGUAUCUUCUCUUCUGUCUUUCAGCAAGGACACUCACUUCUCUUUGCAUUUAGGGCCCACAAAGAGGGUCCUAGCCAGCUGCAUCAUCUCCAGCCUGGACCUGUCCUUACCAAGUCAUCAGUGCAGAUGUUUCUAGGAACUGAGGAAUGUGAGGGGAGCCAUCAAACCCUGCCUGAGCCAUUUUCUACUUCUCUGACAGCUCUCAGGGGACUCCCAUCUUCAAAGAGUGCCUCGGUGCUUUUCCUCUUCAUCUCCUGGGACUGUUGA
rnacentral:lncRNA from 13 species